rnacentral:rRNA from 1 species
GGCGUGUACUGCUUGGCUGGGCCUUACUUCUUGGUGAGCCGGCGUGCCCUUUAUUGGUGUGCGUCGGGGAACCAGGACUUUUACCUUGAGAAAAUUAGAGUGUUCAAAGCAGGCCUAUGCCUGAAUACAUUAGCAUGGAAUAAUAGAAUAGGACGUGCGGUUCUAUUUUGUUGGUUUCUAGAGUCGCCGUAAUGAUUAAUAGGGACAGUUGGGGGCAUUGGUAUUGAGUCGCUAGAGGUGAAAUUCUUGGAUUGACUCAAGACCGACUAUUGCGAAAGCAUUUGCCAAGGAUGUUUUCAUUAAUCAAGAACGAAGGUUAAGGGAUCGAAAACGAUCAGAUACCGUUGUAGUCUUAACAGUAAACUAUGCCGACUAGGGAUCGGAUGACCUCAAAAUUGAUGUGUCAUUCGGCACCUUACGAGAAAUCAAAGUCUUUGGGUUGUGGGGGGAGUAUGGUCGCAAGGCUGAAACUUAAAGGAAUUGACGGAAGGGCACCACCAGGUGUGGAGCCUGCGGCUUAAUUUGACUCAACACGGGGGAAACUCACCAGGUCCAGACAUAACUAAGGAUUGACAGAUUGAUAGUUCUUUCAUGGAUUUUAUGGGUGGUGGUGCAUGGGCCGUUCUUAGUUGGUGGAGUGAUUUGUCUGGUUAAUUCCGAUAACGAACGAGACCUUAACCUGCUAAAUAGCCAGGCCGGCCUCGGCUGGUCUCUGGCUUCUUAGAGGGACUGUCAG